rnacentral:rRNA from 1 species
CUAGUACAUGCCAUUUCGCAGCGAACCAAUUGAAUUGCCUAGUCUUUCAUGAGGUUAGCGGCGUGACGGGUGAGUAACACGUGUGGUAACCUGCCCUAGUAGAACUGGGAUAACUCGCNGGAAUACGCGUGCUAAUACCGGAUAACGACAUCAAAGUGCAUGCAUUUGAUGUUGAAAGAUGGUUCUGCGUAUCACUAUACGGAUGGGACCACGGCGCAUUAGCUUGUUGGUGGGGUAACGGCCUACCAAGGCGACGAUGCGUAGCCGACCUGAGAGGGUGAUCGGCCACACUGGGACUGAGACACGGCCCAGACUCCUACGGGAGGCAGCAGUAGGGAAUCUUCCACAAUGGGCGAAAGCCUGAUGGAGCAACGCCGCGUGAGCGAAGAAGGUCUUCGGAUCGUAAAGCUCUGUUGUAAGGGAAGAACAAGUGCAGUAGUAACUGGCUGCACCUUGACGGUACCUUACUAGAAAGCCACGGCUAACUACGUGCCAGCAGCCGCGGUAAUACGUAGGUGGCAAGCGUUGUCCGGAAUUAUUGGGCGUAAAGCGCGCGCAGGCGGUCUCUUAAGUCUGAUGUGAAAGCCCCCGGCUUAACCGGGGAGGGUCAUUGGAAACUGGGAGACUUGAGUGCAGGAGAGGGAAGCGGAAUUCCAUGUGUAGCGGUGAAAUGCGUAGAGAUAUGGAGGAACACCAGUGGCGAAGGCGGCUUCCUGGCCUGUA